rnacentral:lncRNA from 1 species
CACUUCUUUUGCUAGAUACAUGGUCUCCUUUUGCUUUUACUUUACAGCAAGAGACUCUCCUUUCCAGCCUGUCACUCGCCAGCCUCUCCUUUGUCUUCUUCUCUUAAGAGUUUCACCAGUGCCCUAUUUUUGCACCAACUUCAAAUGUGCUCAAAUGGUUGACUGGUGAACUUUCGGGAUGUCUCGGUCCGUACGGAUCCGUACGGUCCGUACAGCCAGUCCCUAAGUUUGCACACUCGCCCAAAUACUCUUCUAAGUCCCUCCUGGACUUGGC